UCUCAGGCUACUGUGAAACGUUGGACAAGAAGUCUAAGCUUGUGGUCCCUGACGAUGAUCAUGGCCUCUAUGCGAUCGAUAUUUUGGAUCCAUCGUGGUUUACGAAAUGCGUGCAUUUGACAGAGGUGUAUCAUUUUCACGACAUGAUUGAGAUGCUUGUUGCUUGCGGUUACGAGAAGGGAACCACGCUGUUUGGGUUCGGAUAUGAUUUCCGCCAAAGCAAUAGGUAA